AGCCCAGGACCCAAGCGUCUCUGUGGAACGCCCAGGCUCCCACUCUGGAGAACUGCUGAGAGCUCUUGGAGGGGACCUAAGGUGAUAGACAGACCGCAGUUCCCAUCCCAGCAUAGCUUUCUGCUCCUCAGAUGUCUCAAACCUGAGUGUGACCCAGGGACUUGUGUGAGUGGGUGGCCAGGUGCCCUGUGGGCGGGUGGCAGGAGAGCUGCAGAGCCAGCCCGGCCUGAGGGGGGCAGCGGUGCCCAGCACUGGCUGUCGUUGCUAUGGGGACAUGCAGGCUCCAGUGCCAGCUCCUCAGAGACUUUAAAAAUAGCUGGGAAUCUGGACUUUUGUGUGAACGUUUUCCAAUGUGUGGGCGACCCUGCCUCCCACCUUCUGGGAUCCCUUUGUCUCUGCUUCCUCAGUGCAGAGGGAGGAGGGUUCUGGGGUCUGUGCUACUCCCUGCUGGCCUCCAGGGCUGGCCCAUCCUGCAGGCACCCGGCGCCAGCCAGGCGGGCCUUGUGCAGAAAUGGGUGCUGGAGAUGAGCACACCGGGGAGAUGCAGGGUCAUUAUGGGGUUCUCAGACCAACAGGGGACAGCGGAGGAAUGGGAACGAAGGAGCCAUGCCUGGCGCCUGCACCCUGGGCUGUUUUCUCACACAGCCCCCCUGGGUUUCCAGCAGAGUUGUGUAGCUUCCUCCUGAGACAGCGUGCAUGGUGGGUGGACGGCUUUGGACUCACAUCACCCUCUCCCUGCAUUGUCUCCAGCUCCUUCUCAGGUCCUCCCCCAAUGUCACCUCCUCCAGGAAGCCUUCUGGGACCAUCUCAGCCCUCGAGACAAGGGCCCCUGGCUCUAGGAAGCCUUCUCAAAGUUGCUGUGUGCUUGAGGCUGACUUGCUGGCUGAGAGCUCGUGGUUUCUCCGGCCCCCUCAGACAACCAGGACGAGCUCCCCCUCUCAGAGCACUCAGUCAGGGGCACCUUCAGCAUAGGGAGACGCUCACUGGCGCUGGGCAGCAGGACUCAGACGUGGGACUUUCCUCCAUGGAGCGAAGUGUGCACACCCAGAGGCGUGCGUCCUCUUUUACCAGAUUCAGCCCUGAGCCACAGUCCUCUGAGUUUCCAUGUCGUUUGAGGAGAGUGCAGUCCCCAGGCUCCAAAACACGCCGUCGAGAUACUUCCACAGGCUCAGAACCCUGUUCAACACGGAUGAAUUGAUUUUUCACUGUGUGACAGGCAGCCCUGCACUCAGCAACUUGGAACAGCGCACUUUUGCUCAUGCACAGUUGCUGUGGAUUGGGAUUCUGGACCUUGGAGAAAGCAGGAAGGAAGGAAGGGAGGGAGGGAAGGUGGGAGGGAGAGAGGAAGAGAGGGAGACUAGAUAGAGAGAUAGAGGAACAGACGGAGACAGAGGUACAGACCAGUAUCUUGGAGACACCUUGUUUUCUGGUUGUGAGACCCAAGUCAUUAAGUGGAGGCCCUGGGCAGAGGAGGGUGGCAGAAGGUACUGGUGCUCACUGGUACCUGCCAAGGACACCUUCCAGAAUCCAACAGACAUCAGACCCAGAAUGAGUCAAAUUACCCUUCAGGUUACUAGUGGAUUUGUUUCCUAAGUCACGAUAAUAAAUCUAAACAUUGUAAAACCAGCACUGUGUUCCUCAAGCAUCAGUGAAAUGGACACCAAAUGCCUCAGCAGGGUUGCACGGUCCCCACCUCCCUGUGCAGAAGGCACAGAGCAGUGAGUUAUGUUUUGGGGCGUAUGCAGCAGGGAGCCC
rnacentral:lncRNA from 1 species